AUGAGGCAGAUUUCCAGCUAUGGAGUAGUCUCUCUGUCCCAUGUAUCUUCUAUCCUCAGGAGUCAGCCUCAUGUUAUGUUGUUUCAUACUCCACAAAUGAGUGCAGUUGUGAAGCCAGUUCCAGGUGUGGCUUUUGCAACUGCCCUUUACCAUGGAUGAUCAUUAUUCUCUUCUCUUGGAAGUGGAAGAGGGACAGGAUACAGUCUGAGUGGU